GGGGGCCCGCAAGCGUUGGAAUGGUGAUUUUUUCAAUGCAACGCGAAAAACUUUACCUACUCUUGACAUCGAGAAAACUUGGAAAAAAUGCUUUGUUGUCUUCAGAAACUCUGAGACAGGUGCUGCAUGGCUGUCGUCAGCUCGUGUUGUGAAAUGUUGGGUUAAGUCCCCGCAACGAGCGCAACCCCUUAUCCUUUGUUUGCCAUCGGUUGGGCCGGGAAUUCAAAGGAGACUGCCAAUGAUAAACUGGAGGAAGGUGGGGAUGACUUCUAGUGGCCCUGGCCCUUACGACUAGGGCUACACUACUGCGACACUGGCGUAUACAAAGAAAACCGACCUCGGGAGAGCAACCCAACCUCAGUAACUAAGUCCUAAUCCGGAUUGGAGUCUGCAACGCGACUCCUUGAAAUCGGAAUCACUCGUAAUCGUACAUCAGAAUGCUG
rnacentral:rRNA from 1 species